GGAGCAGUACUCAAGAGGUCGAAGAGGUCGCACUCGAAAUGCGAUAGGGCGGGUAACCGCCGCCAGGGUUCAAAUCCCUGCUGCUCCG
rnacentral:tRNA from 1 species